rnacentral:rRNA from 1 species
UACGUAGGUGACAAGCGUUGUCCGGAUUUACUGGGCGUAAAGUGUGCGCAGGCGGCCGCGCAAGUCGAGUGUGAAAGCCCCGAGCUUAACUUGGGAAUUGCGCUCGAAACUACGUGGCUGGAGUGUGGCAGAGGAAGGUGGAAUUCCAGGUGUAGCGGUGAAAUGCGUAGAGAUCUGGAGGAACACCGAUGGCGAAGGCAGCCUUCUGGGCCAACACUGACGCUCAUGCACGAAAGCGUGGGGAGCAAACAGG